rnacentral:rRNA from 1 species
UGCGCCUACGGGACGCAGCAGUGGGGAAUAUUGCACAAUGGGGGAAACCCUGAUGCAGCGACGCCGCGUGAGUGAUGAAGUAUUUCGGUAUGUAAAGCUCUAUCAGCAGGGAAGAUAAUGACGGUACCUGACUAAGAAGCUCCGGCUAAAUACGUGCCAGCAGCCGCGGUAAUACGUAUGGAGCAAGCGUUAUCCGGAUUUACUGGGUGUAAAGGGAGCGCAGACGGCAGGGCAAGUCUGAUGUGAGAGUCCUGGGCUCAACCCC